rnacentral:rRNA from 1 species
GCAGUAGCCACGGUAAUACAGAGGGUGCGAGCGUUAAUCGGAUUUACUGGGCGUAAAGCGUGCGUAGGCGGCUUCUUAAGUCGGAUGUGAAAUCCCUGAGCUUAACUUAGGAAUUGCAUUCGAUACUGGGAAGCUAGAGUAUGGGAGAGGAUGGUAGAAUUCCAGGUGUAGCGGUGAAAUGCGUAGAGAUCUGGAGGAAUACCGAUGGCGAAGGCAGCCAUCUGGCCUAAUACUGACGCUGAGGUACGAAAGCAUGGGGAGCAAACAGGAUUAGAUACCCCGGUAGUCCCUGUCUCUUAUAC